GAUGAACGCUGGCGGCGUGCCUAAUACAUGCAAGUCGAGCGAACAGAUGAGGAGCUUGCUCCUCUGACGUUAGCGGCGGACGGGUGAGUAACACGUGGAUAACCUACCUAUAAGACUGGGAUAACUUCGGGAAACCGGAGCUAAUACCGGAUAAUAUAUUGAACCGCAUGGUUCAAUAGUGAAAGACGGUUUUGCUGUCACUUAUAGAUGGAUCCGCGCCGCAUUAGAUAGUUGGUAAGGUAACGGCCUACCAAGGCAACGAUGCGUAGCCGACCUGAGAGGGGGAUCGCCCACAUUGGAAGGGAGACGCGGACCAGGGUCCUACGGGACGCAGCAGUCGGGAACGGGCGGCAGUGGUGGAAAGCCUGACGGAGCAAGGGGGCGCGAGAGACGAAGGCGUUCGGAUCGUAAAACUGUGCUAUGAGGGGGGAACAAAUGUGUAAGUAACUAUGGACGUAUUGACGGUAACUAAUCAGAAAGCCACGGCUAACUACGUG
rnacentral:rRNA from 1 species